rnacentral:lncRNA from 1 species
GGAUUUGCAUGUUCAAUGCAGUGGAAACUUCCCUGAGCAAAUUUUAUCAAGAGAGAAGCACAAAAAUAUGAGAAUGUUCAGUUCGCUAAGAACAAAGUUAGGAAAAACAGAGAAGUUACAGGCUGAGGAAGAUCUCCCUUGGCUCAAAGCUUUGCCAUCUUGGACAAGGGGUGAUGCAGCUCUUGCGUAAUGUGGACUCUCUAUCCUAAGGUACAGUGGUCACUCAUCAGCAACUUCAGCCCACCUUCCUGCCUCCUUGUUUGCUGGGAAUUACCAGGCUUCAUCAAAAGGAGAAUCUGGACACAAUUCACAGGUCUUUUGACACUUGUGUUUGAGUUCCUAUU